GAAGUACUUGCAUAUAACUUCUGUCAUUUAUUUAAAAUUAACACGUGUUCCAUUUUGAGAAGUUCUUUUUAGGGUUAAAUUCUGCAUUAUUAUUAUAUUUUAUAUGUUAUUAAAUAUGUAUUUGGAACUGGAAACAGCAGGAUCAUUUACAUUCAUAUUUCAUGUUGUGGGCUGAUUAUUUAGGUUUCAAGAAUUUGCGGUCCUUGGAAGUUUGUGGUGGAGGAUUAACUGACGCUGGUGUGAAGAAUAUCAAAGAUCUCUCGUCUUUGACAAUGUUGAAUCUCUCUCAGAACCACCACCUGACAGAUAGAACCCUGGAACUGAUUUCUGGUAUAUAUUGGCAUCUUUAACUCAUCUAGAUCUUCUUUAUGUGAAUGUGGUUGAUUUUUUUUAGUACUCUGGUAUUUCAAAUCCCUAGAAAUGUAUUGAUACUGAUUACAUAUAUAUUCUUCACUUUGCACGUUUGCGAUGGAGAUAUCAGCNAAAAAAAAAAAAAAAAAGCUUGGUGUUUUUCCUUCUACAACAGUUGAUGCUUCUUCUCAUCUUCCUUUUUGCAUAUCUAUCUACUGACCCCAGUCAGCUCCAUGUAAUGUAUUGUUACUUCAUAUUCAGGGCUUCAGCAUUUGAAAUGUUUGGAGCUGUCUGAUACUGAAGUAGGAAGCAACGGACUCCAUCAUCUCUCUGGUUAGACAAGUGUCUUGUGUAGUGAUUAUAUAGCGUUAUCAUUUAGUGGUGAUCCAUGUUUCUUUGUAUACAUUAAUGUUGUUUAUAUCCUUAAGUAUCUAUUAUGUAGGUUUGACUAAUCUGGAGAGUUUGAAUCUUUCAUUCACUGUUGUAACUGAUGCUGGUCUGAAAAAACUAUCUGGAUUAUCAUUUCUGAAGUCUCUUAAUUUGGAUGCUCGCCAAAUUACAGAUGCUGGCUUGGCAGCUCUCACAAGUAAUGACUGUUUAAAUGAUAAUUUACUUUAAAUGUUAGAAUUGCUAAAGAGCUAUCAACACCAUUAUUUCAAGAUUUUUUUAUGUUUCCAGAUAUAUAUUUUGUCUUUGUGGAAAAUUUAGUUCUUGUUAGGUGAUAUGCAGGUCAAAUAUUUCUAAGCCUGUUUAGAUUUUAGGAGAACAAAGAAUCCUCGCUAAAGAUAUACUUCAUCUAUUAGUUGAUGCUGGCUUAUCAUAUGCAUGCAAGUUAUGUAUAGUUGGUUCUUAAAUUAUUGCCUUGGGAAUAAAAAAAUUAGUAAGUAUGGAGGCUUUGGGGACUAAAGCACACCGGAAAGUAAAUAUAGAUGUUAGGGUUUUGUUGUGCACUCCAUUAGAUUAGAAGGGGAUUCAUACGAAGCCCUUUAGCAAUUCUCCGUAUCACAUCAAAAUGUUAGCUUGUUUGGAAACACCUGUUUAACUGGCCCAACUUCAUUUUGCUGCCAGCCUUAAUCAGCAAGUGAAAUUUUGCUGCUAGGCUUUAUGUCCCAUUUGGCCAGUACAUUUGUGGGGAAAAGUAAUACUCUGUUCCUUCCCUCUCUAGUACAUAUUUGUCCGGGUUUGAGAUUUAAAUUUAUUAAUCUCUAACUUCUCUUUUCCUGUUCUUAUUUUUCUAAACUCAAUUGUUGAAUUGAGCUGCGUGCUGCAGAAGUUUGUUUAGUGUCAGUAAGAAGUAUAAUUCAAAGCCCGCAAACACGAUCAAGAACCAAAUUGAAUUAAGAAGUAUAAUUCAAAGCCCGCAAACACGAUCAAGAACCAAAUUGAAUGCCUUCUGGUUUAUUGUUACUUCAUUCUUAUAUCCCUCUUAUGGUAACAUUUUCUUGUUUGAAAUUUGUCUGUAUGUGCAGGUUUGACUGGUCUGACUCAUUUGGAUCUAUUCUGCGCUCGUAUCACAGAUUCAGGAACAAAUUAUUUGCGAAGUACUUGCAUAUAACUUCUGUCAUUUAUUUAAAAUUAACACGUGUUCCAUUUUGAGAAGUUCUUUUUAGGGUUAAAUUCUGCAUUAUUAUUAUAUUUUAUAUGUUAUUAAAUAUGUAUUUGGAACUGGAAACAGCAGGAUCAUUUACAUUCAUAUUUCAUGUUGUGGGCUGAUUAUUUAGGUUUCAAGAAUUUGCGGUCCUUGGAAGUUUGUGGUGGAGGAUUAACUGACGCUGGUGUGAAGAAUAUCAAAGAUCUCUCGUCUUUGACAAUGUUGAAUCUCUCUCAGAACCACCACCUGACAGAUAGAACCCUGGAACUGAUUUCUGGUAUAUAUUGGCAUCUUUAACUCAUCUAGAUCUUCUUUAUGUGAAUGUGGUUGAUUUUUUUUAGUACUCUGGUAUUUCAAAUCCCUAGAAAUGUAUUGAUACUGAUUACAUAUAUAUUCUUCACUUUGCACGUUUGCGAUGGAGAUAUCAGCUCGAGUAAUUAUUUAGUAGCUCGUAGUAAGGACAAUGAGAUUCCGUUUUUUUCUUUUGUGGAACUACAUACUUUGAUUAAAGUUCGUGAUCUGCUUCUAGGACCUGUGUUGGCAAACAUUUGUUCUUAUAUUUUCCCAGUUGAUGACUGCAUAAAAGCCUCAUAUAUCCACAUAAUUACAGGUUUGACAGAUUUGGUUUCUUUAAAUGUCUCAAGCUCUCGUAUAACUGCUGGAGGGUUGAAUCACCUAAAACCCCUGAAGAAUCUAAGAUCAUUGACCUUGGAAUCCUG
rnacentral:lncRNA from 1 species